rnacentral:rRNA from 1 species
UACGGGGGGAGCAAGCGUUGUUCGGAUUUACUGGGCGUAAAGGGCUCGUAGGCGGCCAACUAAGUCGGAUGUGAAAUCCCCAGGCUUAACCUGGGAACUGCAUCCGAUACUGGAUGGCUUGAAUUCGGGAGAGGGAUGCAGAAUUCCAGGUGUAGCGGUGAAAUGCGUAGAUAUCUGGAGGAAUACCGGUGGCGAAGGCGGCAUCCUGGACCGACAUUGACGCUGAGGAGCGAAAGCUAGGGGAGCAAACGGGG